rnacentral:lncRNA from 1 species
UUCUUUUAAAGUGAUCCAUUUCUUUUGAGUGUGAUAUUAUCACGUUCAUAUAACAAGUGUUUACUAUUAGGCUCUCUCUCCCUGCUGGACUUCGUUUUAAAGGAAAAUAACUGCUAAUGUUAAUUGAGUGUUUACCUUGUGCCAGUCAUUGUGCUAAGCAUAUAAAAGAUUCUCUUACUGAUCCCGAGAACAACCCUUUGAGGCAGGUGCUGUUAUCCUCAUUUGAUAGAUGCGGGGAAACUGAGUUCAUUUGGUUAAGUAAUUUGCUCAAAGGCAUACAGCUAUUAAUGGUGGAGCUGGGGUUUUAAACUCAGCUGAAUGAUUUCAAGACCUACCCUCUUACAUGUGGUCUGUUUUUCCACUAUUUUACUUGGUUAAUCUCCUGGAGCAGAGAAUGGAGGCAGCCAAGGAAGAUGCUGUUGAACCAGUUAGGAGGCUGUUGCAGCUAUCCCAGCAAGAUUUGAUGAUAAUGUGGACUUGAGAGGUGGCAGAGCAGUUGCCCAAAGCUGGAUGACUUUCAGAGUCUCAGUCUCCACAAGUCAACAUGGAUGCAUCUGACUACCUGGAAGUGGAGCAAGAAAGAAAAGCCCAGCACUAAGAUUUCAAGACCUUUUCUCACUGCUCAUUACAUACGAAAUAUGAAAAACCACAACAUUCCAUUACCAGAACAGAACUAUUUAAAACCAAAAUGGCACUGUUUGUAAAUUACAUCUUGCCUUGUUUUCAAAACAGAAUAAGACAGUGCUAGUGGACCUCACAUACAUGUUCUUCAACAAUUGCAGACUUUCCAGUGAAUCUAUCUGUUCCAAAGAGCUUUAUUUCUGAUGAGCUAUUUUAAGAUUCUAACUUAGAAGGAGGAAAUAGGAUCAUGCAAUAUGAUCUUUUUAUUUUAGAAAAUAUUAUCUUCAUUGUAUACUUUUCAGAUUUCAAGUACUAGGGAAAAUGAUGUCAUGAAUAGUUUGAUUAUUUUUGGUUAAGGGAAGCCAUUGAAUUACUGUAAUUAAUUGAUAAUUAAUGAGACCGAUUUCAGCAAAUCCCUCAAAAAAUACAAUCUUUGCCAUGGCACAGGGCCCUAGUGAUAUUGGGAGGAAGGAAGGACAAGAGGGAGGGAAGAAGGAAAAUGAGAGGAAGGAAAAAGAAAAGAAAUGCAUUUUUAGAUACUGUUUUCAGUCAUCUAAAGGAAUAUUUCUGAGUCUUUAGUCACAGAGGUAUAGAGUAUUAGAGAUAUAAGGUCACCUGCAAAUGAUCUAGUUCAACUUUCUCAUUUUAUAGAGGGAACAACCAAGGCCCUGAAAAAUUAAGUGACAUGCCCAAGCACUCAUCAUUAGUGAGUGGCAGAGCCAGAAUAUGAAUGCUCAGAACAUAAGCAACUUUUUAAAAAUCACUACAUAAGGAAAAAUAUUGUUAUAAAUAACUAGUAUAGUAUGAUCUCAUAUUAGCAAUUUUGAGAUUAGCACACAGUUUUUAAAAAUACCUGAAUCAGCCUUCUUUAGCAAUCAGAAAAGUAGCAUUGUUCCUUUUUACAUCCUGAACUUUUUUUCCACUUCCCCUAGAAUUUUACCCAAUAUAAAUUUUCUAAUGUAGAAGUGUUCGUGCUCAACAGGCUUUUACUGAUCACCUUAUCAUAUCUCUCGAACAAAAAUACUUACAUAGAUUUUAAUUUUUUUAAUUCCCUCUAAGUUGAAAAGACAUUUUUGUAGUUAUCAUGACAGUUAUUAUUAUUAUACAAGUAGUUAAAACAAUAUAAAUAUAUUAAAUAUUUUUGAUAAUUACUAAACAUGUAAUUAGAGAUUUUCAGCAAUGUACCUCUUAUUGACAUUAAUGAGGAUUUAUUUUUCCAUUAGUUCGUGUACUCAUGGAAGCAUAUUAUGUCUAAAAUGAGACAGAGUACCACUU